rnacentral:rRNA from 1 species
GACAGAGGGUGCAAACGUUGCUCGGAAUCACUGGGCGUAAAGGGCGUGUAGGCGGGAAGGAAAGUCAGAUGUGAAAUCCCUGGGCUCAACCCAGGAACUGCAUUUGAAACUCCCUUUCUUGAGUGUCGGAGAGGAAAGCGGAAUUCCUGGUGUAGAGGUGAAAUUCGUAGAUAUCAGGAGGAACACCGGUGGCGAAGGCGGCUCUCUGGACGGUGACUGACGCUGAGACGCGAAAGCGUGGGGAGCAAACAGG